rnacentral:rRNA from 1 species
GGUCUCCGUAGGUGAACCUGCGGAGGGAUCAUUACACAAAUUAAAAUAUGAAGGCUUCGGCUGGAUUAUUUUUAUCACCCUUGUCUUUUGCGCACUUGUUGUUUCCUGGGCGGGUUCGCCCGCCACCAGGACCACACCAUAAACCUUUUUUAUGCAGUUGCAAUCAGCGUCAGUAUAACAAAUGUAAAUCAUUUACAACUUUCAACAACGGAUCUCUUGGUUCUGGCAUCGAUGAAGAACGCAGCGAAAUGCGAUACGUAGUGUGAAUUGCAGAAUUCAGUGAAUCAUCGAAUCUUUGAACGCACAUUGCGCCCUUUGGUAUUCCAAAGGGCAUGCCUGUUCGAGCGUCAUUUGUACCCUCAAGCUUUGCUUGGUGUUGGGCGUCUUUUGUCUUUGGCCUCGCCCAAAGACUCGCCUUAAAACGAUUGGCAGCCGGCCUACUGGUUUCGCAGCGCAGCACAUUUUUGCGCUUGCAAUCAGCAAAAAGGACGGCAAUCCAUCAAGACUACAUUUUUACGUUUGACCUCGGAUCAGGUAGGGAUACCCGCUGAACUUAAGCAU